UAUUGGACAAUGGGGGGAACCCUGAUCCAGCGACGCCGCGUGAGUGAAGAAGUAUCUCGGUAUGUAAAGCUCUAUCAGCAGGGAAGAAGNAAUGACGGUACCUGAGUAAGAAGCACCGGCUAACUACGUGCCAGCAGCCGCGGUAAUACGUAGGGGGCAAGCGUUAUCCGGAAUUACUGGGUGUAAAGGGAGCGUAGACGGUGAUGUAAGUCUGGAGUGAAAGGCGGGGGCUCAACCCCGGGACUGCUUUGGAAACUGUAAAACUGGAGUGCAGGAGAGGCAGGCGGAAUUCCUAGUGUAGCGGUGAAAUGCGUAGAUAUUAGGAGGAACACCAGUGGCGAAGGCGGCCUGCUGGACUGUAACUGACGUUGAGGCUCGAAGGCGUGGGGAGCAAACAGG
rnacentral:rRNA from 1 species